GCUGGUUUAGCAUAACUUUAAUGCGAAAGACUGUAAAUCUUUUUAUAAUGCUUCCCAUUAACCAGAA
rnacentral:tRNA from 1 species